rnacentral:rRNA from 1 species
AGUUUGAUCAUGGCUCAGAACGAACGUUGGCGGCGUGGAUUAGGCAUGCAAGUCGAGGGAAUCCCGCAAGGGGGAACCGGCGUAAGGGGCAGUAAGGCAUGGGUACUUACCUUUCGGUUCGGGAUAGCCCUUGGAGACAAGGGGUAAUACCGGAUGACGUCGCGAGACCAAAGAAUUUCGCCGAGAGAGAGGCCCAUGUGAUAUUAGCUAGUUGGUGAGGUAACGGCUCACCAAGGCGAAGAUGUCUAGCGGGUGUGAGAGCACGACCCGCGCCACUGGCACUGAGACACUGGCCAGACACCUACGGGUGGCUGCAGUCGAGAAUCUUCGGCAAUGGGCGCAAGCCUGACCGAGCGACGCCGCGUGGGCGACGAAGGCCUUCGGGUUGUAAAGCCCUGUCGAGGGGGAGAAAAGGCAACUUGAUCUAUCCCUGGAGGAAGCACGGGCUAAGUUCGUGCCAGCAGCCGCGGUAAGACGAACCGUGCGAACGUUGUUCGGAAUCACUGGGCUUAAAGGGCGCGUAGGCGGGUUGCCAAGUUUGGGGUGAAAUCCUCCGACUCAAUCGGAGAACUGCCUUGAAUACUGGCGACCUCGAGGAAGGUAGGGGCAUGCGGAACUAUGCGUGGAGCGGUGAAAUGCGUUGAUAUGCAUAGGAACUCCGGUGGCGAA